rnacentral:rRNA from 1 species
AUGGCGACCACGGCCUUCCCCACCUCGACCCCCUUCUUCGUCCACCACGGCACCCGGCGCCCCUCCGUCAACCUCCGAACGACCGCGGUGGUGUACGGCCGUGGUGGGCGGCGGUGGCGGCCACUGCGCGUCGCCUGCGAGAAGGUGGUGGGGAUCGACCUCGGGACCACCAACUCAGCGGUCGCGGCGAUGGAGGGCGGCAAGCCCACCAUCGUCACCAACGCCGAGGGCGCGCGGACCACGCCGUCGGUCGUGGCGUACACCAAGGCCGGGGACCGGCUGGUGGGACAGAUCGCCAAGAGGCAGGCGGUGGUCAACCCGGAGAACACCUUCUUCUCCGUCAAGAGGUUCAUCGGCCGAAAGAUGAACGAGGUCGCCGAGGAGUCCAAGCAGGUUUCCUACCUCCUUGUCCGGGACGAUAACGGCAACGUCAAGCUCGAUUGCCCAGCAAUUGGCAAGCAGUUCGCCGCGGAGGAGAUCUCUGCACAGGUCCUGAGAAAGCUGGUUGAUGAUGCGUCAAAGUUUUUAAAUGACAAAGUCACCAAGGCAGUGAUCACUGUUCCUGCUUAUUUCAAUGACUCCCAGAGGACAGCUACAAAAGAUGCUGGCCGCAUUGCAGGCCUGGAUGUUCUCCGUAUCAUAAACGAGCCUACCGCGGCAUCGUUGGCAUAUGGUUUUGAAAAAAAGAACAAUGAAACAAUUCUGGUUUUUGACCUGGGAGGAGGCACCUUUGAUGUUUCAGUUCUCGAAGUUGGUGAUGGUGUUUUUGAGGUGCUGUCUACAUCUGGUGAUACUCACCUUGGUGGUGAUGACUUUGACAAGAGAAUUGUUGAUUGGCUGGCUGGAAGCUUCAAGAAUGAUGAGGGUAUUGACCUGCUAAAAGACAAGCAAGCUCUCCAGCGUCUUACAGAAGCAGCUGAGAAGGCCAAGAUGGAAUUGUCAUCGUUGACCCAAACAAAUAUCAGUUUACCUUUCAUCACAGCUACUGCUGAUGGGCCCAAGCAUAUUGAGACAACACUUACCAGGGGUAAAUUUGAGGAGCUAUGCUCGGAUCUUCUUGACAGGCUGAGGACACCUGUCGACAAUUCUCUUAGAGAUGCGAAGUUGUCACUUAAAGAAAUAGAUGAGGUGAUUCUUGUGGGUGGUUCCACAAGAAUUCCAGCUGUUCAGGAUCUUGUGAAGAAAAUGACGGGAAAGGAUCCCAAUGUGACAGUCAAUCCCGAUGAGGUUGUUGCUCUUGGAGCAGCGGUGCAGGCAGGAGUAUUGUCGGGCGAUGUGAGCGAUAUUGUGCUUCUUGAUGUUACGCCACUGUCUCUUGGUUUGGAGACACUGGGUGGGGUGAUGACCAAGAUUAUCCCAAGGAACACAACCCUCCCUACCUCCAAGUCAGAGGUCUUUUCAACGGCUGCUGAUGGACAGACUAGUGUGGAGAUUAAUGUUCUCCAAGGAGAAAGAGAGUUUGUUAGGGACAAUAAAUCCCUUGGUAGCUUCAGGCUUGAUGGAAUUCCUCCUGCUCCACGUGGUGUUCCCCAAAUUGAAGUCAAGUUUGAUAUUGAUGCCAAUGGCAUUCUGUCUGUUGCUGCGGUGGAUAAGGGUACUGGGAAGAAGCAGGACAUUACGAUCACUGGAGCCAGCACACUGCCAAAGGAUGAGGUAGAGAAGAUGGUGGAAGAAGCUGAAAAAUUCGCGGCGGAGGACAAGGAGAAGAGGGACGCAAUUGACACCAAGAACCAGGCAGAAUCUGUGAUCUACCAGACUGAGAAACAACUGAAGGAGCUCGGGGACAAGGUCCCAGGCGAUGUCAAGGAGAAGGUGGAGGGGAAGCUCAAGGAACUCCAGGUCGCCGUUGCUGGUGGAUCGACACAGACGAUAAAGGAUGCACUAGCUGCGUUGAACCAAGAAGUGAUGCAGCUUGGUCAGUCCCUCUACCAGCAGCAGGGGUCAGGCCCUACCCCUGGAGCUGACGGCGCUGCUGACUCUACAGGCCCAGGCCCAGGCCCAUCUGAGAAGACAGGCGAUGGUGGUGACGUCAUAGACGCUGAUUUUACCGACAGCAAUUGA